GAUGAACGCUAGCGGCAGGCUUAACACAUGCAAGUCGAGGGGUAUAGUAGCAAUACUAGAGACCGGCGCACGGGUGCGUAACGCGUAUGCAAUCUACCUUUUGCAGAGGGAUAGCCCCAGAGAAAUUUGGAUUAAUACCUCAUAGUAUAGCAGUUUCGCAUGAAACCACUAUUAAAGUCACAACGGUGAAAGAUGAGCAUGCGUCCCAUUAGCUAGUUGGUAAGGUAACGGCUUACCAAGGCAACGAUGGGUAGGGGUCCUGAGAGGGAGAUCCCCCACACUGGUACUGAGACACGGACCAGACUCCUACGGGAGGCAGCAGUGAGGAAUAUUGGACAAUGGGCGCAAGCCUGAUCCAGCCAUGCCGCGUGCAGGAUGACGGUCCUAUGGAUUGUAAACUGCUUUUGUACCGGAAUAAACCCCUUUUUACGNGUUAAGAGGCUGAAUGUACGGUAAGAAUAAGGAUCGGCUAAACUCCGUGCCAGCAGCCG
rnacentral:rRNA from 1 species